rnacentral:rRNA from 1 species
CCCUUAGACGUUCUGGGCCGCACGCGCGCUACACUGACACAGGCAACGAGCUUUCCUUUACCGAAAGGUAUGGGUAAUCUUUUGAAACUGUGUCGUGCUGGGGAUAGAUCCUUGCAAUUUUUGAUCUUAAACGGGGAAUUCCUAGUAAGCGCGAGUCAUCAACUCGCGUUGAUUACGUCCCUGCCCUUUGUACACACCGCCCGUCGCUACUACCGAUUGAAUGGCUUAGUGAGGCCUCAGGAUCCGCGCUUAAUGUGUGGAGAAUUUGGACAAACUACGUCAUUUAGAGGAAGUAAAAGUCGUAACA